UUCCGGAGAGGGAGCCUGAGAAACGGCUACCACAUCUAAGGAAGGCAGCAGGCGCGUAAAUUACCCAAUCCUGACUCAGGGAGGUAGUGACAAGAAAUAACGGACCGAAGCCUAUGUUUCGGGAUUGCAAUGAGUAGAAUUUAAACCCCUUUACGAGGAUCAAUUGGAGGGCAAGUCUGGUGCCAGCAGCCGCGGUAAUUCCAGCUCCAAUAGCGUAUAUUAAAGUUGUUGCAGUUAAAAAGCUCGUAGUUGGAUUUCUGGGAGGGUGCCAAUGUCGUCAUGUGAUUGUGCAGCGGCGCCCUUCCAUCCUUCUGUUAACGUUUCUGAUAUUCAUUUAUUGGUCUCGGGCUCAGAUAUUUUACCUUGAGAAAAUUAGAGUGUUCCAGGCAGGCUUGCGCCGGAAUACAUUAGCAUGGAAUAAUAGAAUAGGACUUUAGUCUCCUUUGUUGGUUUGAGGGACUGAAGUAAUGAUUAAUAGGGAUAGUUGGGGGCA
rnacentral:rRNA from 1 species